rnacentral:rRNA from 1 species
GACGAACGCUGGCGGCGUGCUUAACACAUGCAAGUCGAACGGAAAGGCCCUGCUUUUGUGGGGUGCUCGAGUGGCGAACGGGUGAGUAACACGUGAGUAACCUGCCCUUGACUUUGGGAUAACUUCAGGAAACUGGGGCUAAUACCGGAUAGGAGCUCCUGCUGCAUGGUGGGGGUUGGAAAGUUUCGGCGGUUGGGGAUGGACUCGCGGCUUAUCAGCUUGUUGGUGGGGUAGUGGCUUACCAAGGCUUUGACGGGUAGCCGGCCUGAGCGGGUGACCGGCGACAUUGGGACUGAGAUAGGGACCAGACUGCUACGGGAGGCAGCAGUCGGGAAUAUUGCAGAAUGGGCGGAAGCCUGAUGCAGCAACGCCGCGUGCGGGAUGACGGGCUUCGGGUUGUAAACAGCUUUGGCCUGUGACGAAGCGUGAGUGACGGUAAUGGGUAAAGAAGCAACGGCUAACUACGUG